rnacentral:rRNA from 1 species
CCUACGGGAGGCAGCAGUGGGGAAUAUUACACAAUGGGCGCAAGCCUGAUGCAGCGAUGCCGCGUGAGCGAUGAAGGCCUUCGGGUCGUAAAGCUCUGUCCUAAGGGAAGAAUAAUGACGGUACCUUAGGAGGAAGCUCCGGCUAACUACGUGCCAGCAGCCGCGGUAAUACGUAGGGGGCGAGCGUUUUCCGGAAUCACUGGGCGUAAAGGGUGCGUAGGCGGCCCUGCAAGUGAGGAGUUAAAUCCCUCGGCUCAAGCGAGGUCAGCACUGGAAACUGUAGGGCUUGAGUGCAGGGGAGGGGGGCUGAAUUACUAGGGUAGCGGUGAAGUGCGUAGUUAUUAGGUGGAGCACCAGAGGGGAAGGGGGCUCUCUGGACUGCAUGUGACGGUGAGGCACGAAGGCGUGGGGAGCGAACAGGAUUAGCUACCCUUGUAGUC